UAAACUUAAACUUUGAUUUAUCCGCCAGAAUACUACGAGCAACAGCUUAAAACUCAAAGGACUUGGCGGUGCUCUACACCCCCUAGAGGAGCCUGUUCUAUAAUCGAUAAUCCACGAUAAACCUCACCCUCUAUUGCCAAUACAGCCUAUAUACCACCGUCCAGCCCACCCUUUAAAGGGCCAACAGUAGGCAUAACUAUAAACAUAAAAACGUCAGGUCAAGGUGUAGCAUAUAAGAUGGGAAGAAAUGGGCUACAUUUUCUAGUUUAAAAAACUACGGAAAAGCUUGUGAAACAAAACUAUAAAGGAGGAUUUAGCAGUAAAAAGAAAAAAGAGUGUUCUUUUUAAACCG
rnacentral:rRNA from 1 species